CAGCCGCCGCGGGAAUACGGAGGGUGCAAGCGUUAACCGGGAUUACUGGGCGUAAAGCGCACGCAGGCGGUUUGUUAAGUCAGAUGUGAAAUCCCCGAGCUUAACUUGGGAACUGCAUUUGAAACUGGCAAGCUAGAGUCUUGUAGAGGGGGGUAGAAUUCCAGGUGUAGCGGUGAAAUGCGUAGAGAUCUGGAGGAAUACCGGUGGCGAAGGCGGCCCCCUGGACAAAGACUGACGCUCAGGUGCGAAAGCGUGGGGAGCAAACAGGAUUAGAUACCCGAGUAGUCCCUGUCUCUUAUAC
rnacentral:rRNA from 1 species